rnacentral:lncRNA from 1 species
AAAAGGAUAAAAAAGCCUUAAUUUCAAAAUUAAAUUGUAAUAAAAAAACUUUCAUAUUUUCAAAAAUUGUAAAUCAGAUAGAUCCAGAUCUAAAACUUUCAUAUUUUCUCUCGUAAACCAAUAGAUCCAGAUCUAAACUCUUGCGGAGGAUCGUCUAAAGUUGAACGGACAAAAAUGUAGGUCGCACCAGUAUUGUUGAAAACAGGGAAAGGAGCCGCAUCACUAGGCUUCGGAAAGCCAAAGCUGAAGGGCGGUGCACCUGAAGAUGAGAAGCCUGACAAAGUGGGGUGGUGGUUCUCAUUCCCAAAGAUCUUCAUCUCAUAAUCCUGUAAUUGCUGGUACACAGCUACAAUCCAUGAAUGAAAAACCUGAAUGUCAGAUAUCAAGUGCAAAAAAUGCAAUUUUUACUUUUUGAAUAUCUGCACUUUACAUCUUACACACAAAAGCAUAAAGGGGGGAUUAUGAAAAGACACCUCCAAGUUAUUAACCCUUAAGAAUUUAAUAUUUGUAACUAGCAUUAUCUUUUUCUUUGAUCCCCCUGUGAGUUGUGAGUUGUUUAUGUUUUUGAUUAUAAUUUACACAAAGUCUGGUUCGCUUAAGAUGAGUUAAAUAGCUGUCAAAUUGGUACCAUUGUUAUUUUGUGCACUUAUUAAUAGAAAUUGUAGUUGUAAUUAUCCUUUUAAGGCAUCCUAUAGGAUGUGAAGGAACUGAAUUUGGUUGAUUUGUAUGUGAUUAUGUGACAGAAAGCUUGAAACAAUUUGUAUCUCUCCUUCUCUCUCCUCUGGCUCUAUCUGUGUGUGCUGAGUUCGUCGUCGACUUUUGAAAAUGUAACGGACAACUUGUGACGAGCCACCACCACCACCACCACCACCACCACAACUUGUAAUCUGAGACGAUUUCGAGAGGAGAGAGGAAGGAGGAACGAAUUGGGGGUAGGGAGG